AAGGGAGACCUAAUUCAGGUAUGGGACGAAAGAAAAGUAGUCGCUACCAAGAAUCAAUCCCAAAAGGUCGGAGCGAGGUAUGAGGCUUUCAAACUAGGUUCUGGGUUCAAACAAGACCUGAAUCAGGAACAAGGGCUAUUAGCUCAGGUGGUUAGAGCGCACCCCUGAUAAGGGUGAGGUCCCUGGUUCGAGUCCAGGAUGGCCCACCUGCACAGGUGGCAAAAACAAGAGAAGCGAGGAAUCAGCACCUUAUCUUAUCUAUAUAUAAGAGAGAAUGCUGGCUCUGAGUAAAGAGUCCAGAGGAACCUUGAAAACUGCAUAGAGCUAGGUGAAAAAGCCAAAAAAGAAGACCGCAA
rnacentral:tRNA from 1 species